rnacentral:rRNA from 1 species
CCUACGGGUGGCAGCAGUGAGGAAUAUUGGUCAAUGGGCGAGAGCCUGAACCAGCCAAGUCGCGUGAAGGAUGAAGGCUCUAUGGUUUGUAAACUUCUUUUAUAUGGGAAUAAAGUGAGGAACGUGUUCCUUUUUGUAUGUACCAUAUGAAUAAGCAUCGGCUAACUACGUGCCAGCAGCCGCGGUAAUACGGAGGAUGCGAGCGUUAUCCGGAUUUAUUGGGUUUAAAGGGUGCGUAGGGGGUUAAUUAAGUCAGCGGUGAAAUUUUGUGGCUUAACCAUAAAAUUGCCGUUGAAACUGGUUGGCUUGAGUAUAUUAGAUGUAGGUGGAAUGCGUGGUGUAGCGGUGAAAUGCAUAGAGAUCAGGCAGAACUCCGAUGGCGAAGGCAGCUUACUGGACUAAAACUGACGCUGAAGCACGAAAGCGUGGGGAGCAAACAGGAUUAGAUACCCUUGUAGUC